rfam:Loxodonta africana unplaced genomic scaffold scaffold_21, whole genome shotgun sequence.
GAGAUAAAUCAGAUCAUCUCUUGUGCUCACUUCGGCAGCACAUAUACUAAAUUAGCAUGGCCCCUGUGCAAGGAUGACACUCUAAUUUGUGAAGCAUUCCAUAUUUUU